GGCUGGUUAGCUCAGUUGGUUGAGCAUAGCGCUAACAAAGCUAAGGUCGCGGGUUCAAUUCCCAUUCGGUCC
rnacentral:tRNA from 1 species